rnacentral:lncRNA from 1 species
AAGAGUAGCUGCUGCUUUUGCAACAGCUAAUGGGGAUCCUAAUAAAAUACCAAAUACCAGUCCAUGCUGCUGAAAAGCGCCCCCAUAACAUGACGCUACCACCACCAUGCUUCACGGUAGGGUUGGUGUUAGACGGGUGAUGAGCUGUGCCUGGUUUUCAGACAUAGCGCUUUGUAUUCAGGCCAAAGAGUUACAUUUUUGUCUCAUCAGACCGCAGAAUAUUUUGCCUUAUGCUAUCAGAGUCUUUCACGUGCUUUUUUGCAAACACCAGGCCUGCUGUCAUGUGCCUUUUUCUCAGGAGUGGCUUCCGUCUGGCCACUCUCGCAUAAAGCCCAGAUUGGUGAAGUGCUGUAAGACUGUGGUCCUUCUGGCAGGUUCUCCCAUCUCAGCCAAGGAACUCUGUAGUUCUGUCAGAGCGGGUUCUUGGUCACCUCUCAAGGUCCUUCUUGCCCAGUUGCUCAGAUUGGUCAGGUAGUUGGUCUGGGUAGUUCCAUAUUUUUUCCAUUUCCCAAUGAUGGAUACCACUCUUAGAAACUUUCAACACUAUAAAAAGUUUUAUACCCUUCCCCUGGUAUAUGCCUCAUCACAAUUCUAUAUUGGAGAUCUACAGACAGUUCAUUGGACUUCAUGGUAUAGUUUCUGCUCUGAAAUGCACUGUCCACUGUGGGACCUUAUAAAGACGUGUGUUUUAAAACAUUUCCAAACAAUUGAAUUGGCCACAGUUGUGGUGACGUCUCAAGGGAUGAUCGAAGGAAGUUGGAUGCACCUGAGCUCAAUUUGGAGUGUCAUAGCAAAGAGGUGUGAAUACUUAUUUAAAUGAGAUAUUUCUGUAUUUUAUUUUCAAUACAUUUACAAGUAUUUCUGUUUACAUUAUAGGGAAUAGGGUGCCAUUUGGGAUGCAGACAGGGUUUGUAUAAUAGUGGCAAUUGCUGCUGACUCAUGCAACCAGAUACUGUAUAUAGUAGAGCUCAACAACAAAUUCAAAUCUAACGUUCAAUAACAAAGUAACCAAGUCAAUAACAAGUUCUAAUCUGACGUUCAAUAACAAAGUAACCAAGUCAAUAACAAGUUCUAAUCUGACGUUCAAUAACAAAUUCUAAUCUGACGUUCAAUAACAAAGUAACCAACUCAAUAACAAGUUCUAAUCUGACGUUCAAUAACAAAGUAACCAACUCAAUAACAAG